ensembl:lncRNA
AUGAAUAAAAAUGUCUUUGUGUUUAUUUUAUAUAUUUCACAGUGUAUUUAUUUCUGCAAUGGGGACUAUACAAAAGUACAAUUGUGUUAUUGUAAAGUAGUCAUCUCUCACUUUGGAGCGUCAUAUCUUGUCUGUACACAGGAAGGAGAUACUCAAUUGUGUUAUUGUUAUUGUAAAGUAGUCAUCUCUCACUUUGGAGCGUCAUAUCUUGUCUGUACACAGGAAGGAGAUACUCAAUUGUGUUAUUGUUAUUGUAAAGUAGUCAUCUCUCACUUUGGAGCGUCAUAUCUUGUCUGUACACAGGAAGGAGAUACUCAAUUGUGUUAUUGUUAUUGUAAAGUAGUCAUCUCUCACUUUGGAGCGUCAUAUCUUGUCUGUACACAGGAAGGAGAUACUCAAUUGUGUUAUUGUUAUUGUAAAGUAGUCAUCUCUCACUUUGGAGCGUCAUAUCUUGUCUGUACACAGGAAGGAGAUACUCAAUUGUGUUAUUGUUAUUGUAAAGUAGUCAUCUCUCACUUUGGAGCGUCAUAUCUUGUCUGUACACAGGAAGGAGAUACUCAAUUGUGUUAUUGUUAUUGUAAAGUAGUCAUCUCUCACUUUGGAGCGUCAUAUCUUGUCUGUACACAGGAAGGAGAUACUCAAUUGUGUUAUUGUUAUUGUAAAGUAGUCAUCUCUCACUUUGGAGCGUCAUAUCUUGUCUGUACACAGGAAGGAGAUACUCAAUUGUGUUAUUGUUAUUGUAAAGUAGUCAUCUCUCACUUUGGAGCGUCAUAUCUUGUCUGUACACAGGAAGGAGAUACUCAAUUGUGUUAUUGUUAUUGUAAAGUAGUCAUCUCUCACUUUGGAACGUCAUAUCUUGUCUGUACACAGGAAGGAGAUACUCAAUUGUGUUAUUGUUAUUGUAAAGUAGUCAUCUCUCACUUUGGAGCGUCAUAUCUUGUCUGUACACAGGAAGGAGAUACUCAAUUGUGUUAUUGUUAUUGUAAAGUAGUCAUCUCUCACUUUGGAGCGUCAUAUCUUGUCUGUACACAGGAAGGAGAUACUCAAUUGUGUUAUUGUUAUUGUAAAGUAGUCAUCUCUCACUUUGGAACGUCAUAUCUUGUCUGUACACAGGAAGGAGAUACUCAAUUGUGUUAUUGUUAUUGUAAAGUAGUCAUCUCUCACUUUGGAGCGUCAUAUCUUGUCUGUACACAGGAAGGAGAUACUCAAUUGUGUUAUUGUAAAGUAGUCAUCUCUCACUUUGGAACGUCAUAUCUUGUCUGUACACAGGAAGGAGAUACUCAAUUGUGUUAUUGUUAUUGUAAAGUAGUCAUCUCUCACUUUGGAGCGUCAUAUCUUGUCUGUACACAGGAAGGAGAUACUCAAUUGUGUUAUUGUUAUUGUAAAGUAGUCAUCUCUCACUUUGGAGCGUCAUAUCUUGUCUGUACACAGGAAGGAGAUACUCAAUUGUGUUAUUGUAAAGUAGUCAUCUCUCACUUUGGAGCGUCAUAUCUUGUCUGUACACAGGAAGGAGAUACUCAAUUGUGUUAUUGUUAUUGUAAAGUAGUCAUCUCUCACUUUGGAGCGUCAUAUCUUGUCUGUACACAGGAAGGAGAUACUCAAUUGUGUUAUUGUUAUUGUAAAGUAGUCAUCUCUCACUUUGGAACGUCAUAUCUUGUCUGUACACAGGAAGGAGAUACUCAAUUGUGUUAUUGUUAUUGUAAAGUAGUCAUCUCUCACUUUGGAGCGUCAUAUCUUGUCUGUACACAGGAAGGAGAUACUCAAUUGUGUUAUUGUUAUUGUAAAGUAGUCAUCUCUCACUUUGGAGCGUCAUAUCUUGUCUGUACACAGGAAGGAGAUACUCAAUUGUGUUAUUGUUAUUGUAAAGUAGUCAUCUCUCACUUUGGAGCGUCAUAUCUUGUCUGUACACAGGAAGGAGAUACUCAAUUGUGUUAUUGUAAAGUAGUCAUCUCUCACUUUGGAGCGUCAUAUCUUGUCUGUACACAGGAAGGAGAUACUCAAUUGUGUUAUUGUUAUUGUAAAGUAGUCAUCUCUCACUUUGGAACGUCAUAUCUUGUCUGUACACAGGAAGGAGAUACUCAAUUGUGUUAUUGUUAUUGUAAAGUAGUCAUCUCUCACUUUGGAGCGUCAUAUCUUGUCUGUACACAGGAAGGAGAUACUCAAUUGUGUUAUUGUUAUUGUAAAGUAGUCAUCUCUCACUUUGGAACGUCAUAUCUUGUCUGUACACAGGAAGGAGAUACUCAAUUGUGUUAUUGUUAUUGUAAAGUAGUCAUCUCUCACUUUGGAGCGUCAUAUCUUGUCUGUACACAGGAAGGAGAUACUCAAUUGUGUUAUUGUUAUUGUAAAGUAGUCAUCUCUCACUUUGGAGCGUCAUAUCUUGUCUGUACACAGGAAGGAGAUACUCAAUUGUGUUCUUAA